GACGAACGCUGGCGGCGUGCUUAACACAUGCAAGUCGAACGGAAAGGCCCUGCUUUUGUGGGGUGCUCGAGUGGCGAACGGGUGAGUAACACGUGAGUAACCUGCCCUUGACUUUGGGAUAACUUCAGGAAACUGGGGCUAAUACCGGAUAGGAGCUCCUGCUGCAUGGUGGGGGUUGGAAAGUUUCGGCGGUUGGGGAUGGACUCGCGGCUUAUCAGCUUGUUGGUGGGGUAGUGGCUUACCAAGGCUUUGACGGGUAGCCGGCCUGAGAGGGUGACCGGCAACAUUGGGACUGAGAUACGGCCCAGACUCCUACGGGAGGCAGCAGUGGGGAAUAUUGCACAAUGGGCGGAAGCCUGAUGCAGCAACGCCGCGUGCGGGAUGACGGCCUUCGGGUUGUAAACCGCUUUCGCCUGUGACGAAGCGUGAGUGACGGUAAUGGGUAAAGAAGCACCGGCUAACUACGUGC
rnacentral:rRNA from 1 species